rnacentral:lncRNA from 1 species
CAAGAACGUGUUAAUUACUAGGGUUGAAUUUGUAUUUUUCAGUCUCAUUUUUUUGUCGGCAAUUUUCCAAUUUUUGCUUUUGCAGGGAUUUUAUUUCUCGAUUCUUCCUUUUCCCCGUCUUGGGCAGGAAAGAGAUUGUUUAGCUUUUGGUGAUCUCUCUCAUCCGAUUAUCCUCGUUGGCCGUGUAAUUAAUAUUUAUUUUUUAUUUUCUUUUCUCUGUUUUGAAAUUUGAGGCUUUUUGUGAUGAGGAUAUAGUUCUUGAAACUUCUCCUUAGACCUGAAUUUGUUUGAGAGCUCUGUAUAUUCUGCUGGAAAGGGUAUGCCUUUGUGUAUAUUGAUAUUCCGGCAUGACUUUGUUAGCAUUGAUAUUUAAGAACUGCGUUAUUAUGCUCGGCCAUCUUGCUUUUACACGCC